GCACAAGCGGUGGAGCAUGUGGUUCAAUUCGAAGCAACGCGCAGAACCUUACCAACCUUUGACAUCCUGAUCGCGGGCACCAGAGAUGGAGCCUUUCAGUUCGGCUGGAUCAGAGACAGGUGCUGCAUGGCUGUCGUCAGCUCGUGUCGUGAGAUGUUGGGUUAAGUCCCGCAACGAGCGCAACCCUCGCCCUUAGUUGCCAUCAUUUAGUUGGGCACUCUAAGGGGACUGCCGGUGAUAAGCCGCGAGGAAGGUGGGGAUGACGUCAAGUCCUCAUGGCCCUUACAGGUUGGGCUACACACGUGCUACAAUGGCGGUGACAAUGGGAUGCAAUGGAGCAAUCCUGCGCAAAUCUCAAAAAGCCGUCUCAGUUCGGAUUGUGCUCUGCAACUCGAGCACAUGAAGUUGGAAUCGCUAGUAAUCGCAGAUCAGCACGCUGCGGUGAAUACGUUCCCGGGC
rnacentral:rRNA from 1 species